AAAGUAUGGUGAGGGCAUUUCCUAAGCAUAUCUUUGAAUCUCUCAUAACUUUCAUAAAUUGAUUCUCACUCAAACUGGGUAACAGAUAUGAUAUCAUUUCUAAGUUU